CAAGAAUCCUUUGGUUUAUGUCAACCAAUUAAAAUCUGGUUUAACAAAAACUGGAGAGACCGCACCAUAACAGCUAUAAAAAAUCUGCAAUGCUUAUGGUGCCUUUAACAAGUCUACUUGAAUCAAUUAUCUUAUUUUGUAGUUCGUUCCUGACCGGAUGAUGAUUGCGAAUAUGUUGUAUAUAUUUCAUUGUAUAUAAUAAUAUAGUGUAUAUAAACUGAUAAG